rnacentral:rRNA from 1 species
CACGUAGGGUGCGAGCGUUGUCCGGAAUUAUUGGGCGUAAAGAGCUCGUAGGCGGUAUGUCGCGUCGGCCGUGAAAACCUGCAGCUUAACUGUGGGCGUGCGGUCGAUACGGGCAUCACUGGAGUUCGGCAGGGGAGACUGGAAUUCCUGGUGUAGCGGUGAAAUGCGCAGAUAUCAGGAGGAACACCGGUGGCGAAGGCGGGUCUCUGGGCCGAUACUGACGCUGAGGAGCGAAAGCGUGGGGAGCGAACGGG